UACGUAGGGUGCAAGCGUUGUCCGGAAUUAUUGGGCGUAAAGAGCUCGUAGGUGGCCUGUCGCGUCGGCUGUGAAAACUCGGGGCUCAACUCCGAGCUUGCAGUCGAUACGGGCAGGCUAGAGUUCGGCAGGGGAGACUGGAAUUCCUGGUGUAGCGGUGAAAUGCGCAGAUAUCAGGAGGAACACCGGUGGCGAAGGCGGGUCUCUGGGCCGAUACUGACACUGAGGAGCGAAAGCGUGGGAGCGAACAGG
rnacentral:rRNA from 1 species